AGUGAACGCUGGCGGUAGGCCUAACACAUGCAAGUCGAACGGCAGCACAGUAAGAGCUCGUUCUUACGGGUGGCGAGUGGCGGACGGGUGAGGAAUACAUCGGAAUCUACUUUUUCGUGGGGGAUAACGUAGGGAAACUUACGCUAAUACCGCAUACGACCUACGGGUGAAAGCAGGGGAUCUUCGGACCUUGCGCGAUUGAAUGAGCCGAUGUCGGAUUAGCUAGUUGGCGGGGUAAAGGCCCACCAAGGCGACGAUCCGUAGCUGGUCUGAGAGGAUGAUCAGCCACACUGGAACUGAGACACGGUCCAGACUCCUACGGGAGGCAGCAGUGGGGAAUAUUGGGCAAUGGGCGCAAGCCUGAUCCAGCCAUGCCGCGUGAGUGAAGAAGGCCUUCGGGUUGUAAAGCCCUUUUGUUGGGAAAGAAAAGCAGCAGGUUAAUACCCCGCUGUUCUGACGGUACCCAAAGAAUAAGCACCGGCUAACUUCGUG
rnacentral:rRNA from 1 species